rnacentral:rRNA from 1 species
GGGCGCACGCGCGCUACACUGACGGAGCCAACGAGUAUUAACCUUGGCCGAGAGGUCUGGGAAAUCUUGUGAAACUCCGUCGUGCUGGGGAUAGAGCAUUGUAAAUCUUGCUCUUCAACGAGGAAUUCCUAGUAAGCGCAAGUCAACAACUUGCGUUGAUUACGUCCC